AGCGAACGCUGGCGGCAGGCCUAACACAUGCAAGUCGAACGAACCUUUCGGGGUUAGUGGCGGACGGGUGAGUAACACGUGGGAACGUGCCUUUAGGUUCGGAAUAACUCAGGGAAACUUGUGCUAAUACCGAAUGUGCCCUUCGGGGGAAAGAUCUAUCGCCUUUAGAGCGGCCCGCGUCUGAUUAGCUAGUUGGUUGAGGUAAUGGCUCACCAAGGCGACGAUCAGUAGCUGGUCUGAGAGGAUGAUCAGCCACAUUGGGACUGAGACACGGCCCAAACCCCCAAGGGGGGGAGGAGGGGGGAAUUUUGGCGAAGGGGGGAAAAGCCGAACCCACCAAUGCGGGGUAAAAAAGGAGGGUGUAAGGAUGAAAAAUUUUUUUCACGGGGGAAAAAAAGGCGGUAACCAGAAAAAAAGCCCCGGAAAACCUUGGGC
rnacentral:rRNA from 1 species